CCUACGGGGGGCAGCAGUGGGGAAUAUUGCACCAUGGGGGAAACCCUGAUGCAGCGACGCCGCGUGGGUGACGAAGUAUUUCGGUAUGUAAAGCCCUAUCAGCAGGGAAGAAGAUGACAGUACCUGACCAAGAAGCCCCGGCUAACUACGUGCCAGCAGCCGCGGUAAUACGUAGGGGGCAAGCGUUAUCCGGAUUUACUGGGUGUAAAGGGAGCGUAGGUGGCAUGGCAAGCCAGAAGUGAAAACCCGGGGCUUAACCCCGCGGAUUGCUUUUGGAACUGUCAGGCUGGAGUGCAGGAGGGGCAGGCGGAAUUCCUGGUGUAGCGGUGAAAUGCGUAGAUAUCAGGAGGAACACCGGUGGCGAAGGCGGCCUGCUGGACUGUAACUGACACUGAGGCUCGAAAGCGUGGGGAGCAAACAGGAUUAGAUACCCUUGUAGUC
rnacentral:rRNA from 1 species